GGCCUUGCUUCCCGACUCUAAAUUCCUCCUCUCCAACCAAUGAUUCCUCUCUGCCUCCACCUCUGAGACUGGUUCUUUUCCUGGCAGGAGAUAUUUACUGAGCAGGCAGACAAGCCAUACACUGAAGAACAGCUGCAGAGGAAAGGCUGGACCAGGUGUGCUGGGAGUCACCAGGAGCAAGGUGGUGAAGGAGCACAUGAAUCCGGGCAACGUGACUUAAGAGCUGGCUGAUGUUCCAGGACAGCACAAAAGAACGGAACUUCUUUUCAUGCCAUGAGUGCGCAAACCAAUGGACAGUUUCUGGGGUUACUCGUGAUUGCUCCUCGGUCCGGAGUUCAGGCAACAAUCUGAGCCACUCAACUGCUCUUCUUUACCCCUCUACCUCUGCAGUUCAUUGGGUGCCAGAGCUGGGUCAGGCUCCUGGGACAGAAGGAGGAGGCGGGCCCAGGAAAUCCACUUGGGGUAACACACCAUUUGUACAUAUAAAGCAAUGUUCACCUCUUUGUAUGCACUGUGGUAAUUAUUUUACCUUCUUUUAUGAACUUGCACAUUUUCAGAGAGAGUUAAAUUAAGCAGAGUCUGAAAGUGGAGAAUUCUCACAUAGAUAAAAGAAUGGAGACCUGAAAUUGGGUCAUCAGGAAGUGUCUUGUGGCAAAAUAUCCUUAGUAUCAAACUGAAGGAAGAAAUAUUUCAAACAUUUUCUUUAAGGAAAACUUAAUGGAUGUGACUUAAAUAUUGUCUAGACUGACCCAGCAGCACGAGGUGGUGUCUUCAAGGACUUUUCAUCUCAAUCCACAGGAAAAGGGUUCGAUGUAGAUGAGAAAGAGGGAGCGGAGCACAGCUAGGCUGGAGAGGCAUCCUGUCCACGGAUUAGUCUUCACUCUUCAUGUAGGCAGUAGAAUGGUAAAUGGGGCCAUCUUAAAACAGCAACUCCCAAACACUGGGAGGUCGAUGUGCUUCCUAAACCCUCACUGAUUCAUGAUGUUCGGCACAGCAUGGGGCCUCCCGAAAAUGGUGCUGAUCAUAUGGAGUUUGUGGAACAUCUCCUGUGUGUGCUACGGGGACUCUACUAUCCUCCAUGGUCACAAUUUCACUGGGGCCAGUCGCCUAGAAGAUCUCAUGGGGUGUCCA